UACGAGGGGGGCGAGCGUUGUUCGGAAUUAUUGGGCGUAAAGGGCGCGUAGGCGGUUGGAUAAGUCUUGUGUGAAAUCUUCGGGCUCAACUGGGAGAGGUCCUUGCAUACUGGCGAACUUGAGGGGGGUAGAGGAAGUGGAAUUCCGGUGUAGUGGUGAUAUGCGUAGAUAUCGGGAGGAACACCUGUGGCGAAGGCGGCUUUCUGGGCCCUACCUGACGCUGAGA
rnacentral:rRNA from 1 species